GACAGAGGGUGCGAACGUUGUUCGGAAUUACUGGGCGUAAAGCGCGUGUAGGCGGCAGCGUAAGUCGGGCGUGAAAUCCCACGGCUCAACCGUGGAAGUGCACUCGAAACUGCGCAGCUAGAGUCCUGGAGAGGAAGGUGGAAUGCUUGGUGUAGAGGUGAAAUUCGUAGAUAUCAAGCGGAACACCGGUGGCGAAGGCGGCCUUCUGGACCGAGACUGACGCUGAGGCGCGAAAGCGUGGGGAGCAAACAGG
rnacentral:rRNA from 1 species